UGGGGAAUUUUGCGCAAUGGGCGAAAGCCUGACGCAGCGACGCCGCGUGACCGAUGAAGGCCCUCGGGUCGUAAAGGUCUUUCGGAGGGGACUAUAGUGAAGGUACCCUCAAAAGCAGGAGCGGCUAACUACGUGCCAGCAGCCGCGGUAAUACGUAGGCUCCAAGCGUUGUUCGGAAUUACUGGGCGUAAAGCGAGUGUAGGCGGUCCGCCAAGUCAGCUGUGAAAUCUCCCGGCUCAACCGGGAGGGUGCGGCUGAAACUGACGGACUCGAGUCCGGGAGAGGAGAGUGGAAUUCCUGGUGUAGCGGUGAAAUGCGUAGAUAUCAGGAGGAACAUCGGUGGUGAAGACGGCUCUCUGGACCGGUACUGACGCUGAGACUCGAAAGCGUGGGGAGCAAACAGGAUUAGAUACCCGGGUAGUCC
rnacentral:rRNA from 1 species